GUAAUGUCUGGGAAACUGCCUGAUGGAGGGGGAUAACUACUGGAAACGGUGGCUAAUACCGCAUAACGUCGCAAGACCAAAGAGGGGGACCUUCGGGCCUCUUGCCAUCAGAUGUGCCCAGAUGGGAUUAGCUAGUUGGUGAGGUAACGGCUCACCAAGGCGACGAUCCCUAGCUGGUCUGAGAGGAUGACCAGCCACACUGGAACUGAGACACGGUCCAGACUCCUACGGGAGGCAGCAGUGGGGAAUAUUGCACAAUGGGCGCAAGCCUGAUGCAGCCAUGCCGCGUGUAUGAAGAAGGCCUUCGGGUUGUAAAGUACUUUCAGCGGGGAGGAAGGUGUUGUGGUUAAUAACCGCAGCAAUUGACGUUACCCGCAGAAGAAGCACCGGCUAACUCCGUGCCAGCAGCCGCGGUAAUACGGAGGGUGCAAGCGUUAAUCGGAAUUACUGGGCGUAAAGCGCACGCAGGCGGUCUGUCAAGUCGGAUGUGAAAUCCCCGGGCUCAACCUGGGAACUGCAUUCGAAACUGGCAGGCUUGAGUCUUGUAGAGGGGGGUAGAAUUCCAGGUGUAGCGGUGAAAUGCGUAGAGAUCUGGA
rnacentral:rRNA from 3 species